AAGGGUUGGGGAGUUGAGGUGAUAAAGACAGAGGAGACAGAUAUUCAUAUGCUACCUCUGAAAUUGGGGUACAAGUGGCCAUUCCGAAUAUUCUUUAAAAUGAAGAGGGACUGACUAUUCCUCUUAAGUUUUUGGAGUACAAGGGGCUGUGGAAAUGCAUAUUGAUAGACAAUACCCAAAGGUAUAUUUUUACUUUUAAAACUCCAUUACCCUUAUUAAUUCCUCAGCCCCUUGUCUUUAUUCUCUGCCCCUUCCUUUUAAUUAUUCCUUCAAUAUCUUUGUCUUUCAAUGAGGUUGGCCCGAGACACAGAUGGGACUGGAAAUUACCUGCUUCUAACCCAUAAGCAUGUGGCCCAGCUCUCUUCAAAUUGUUGCUACCACCGAAAUCGCCGUCCUCCAGCCAGACCCCCCCAGUGGGUGGUAUGACCACAGUUUCUCCAUAUCCAAAGACACUGUCUUUCCAUUGUUUCUGAGAUUCAACCUCAGAUGCUGGUGGAGUUGGCCCCUCCAUAUUUCCUGAGUAACUUGCCCCCAGUGAGAGCAGAGAUCUCCUGAACCAGUUGAGGAAAGGAAUGGCGGAUUCAUCAGCAGAAAGCGAAUCUUCCUCCACCCAGGAGUUCAAAGAUGCCUGUGUCCCUGCAGUGACCUGCCUACCUAAGGAUUGGAGCCAAGCUCAUCUCAUGGUCCUCCUUCAGGCUAGCACCAAAGCAAACAACCAGAUUUAGAGCCCAGAGUUUAAGGUCAAAUGUAAAUUCUGGAACCUAAGAGGAGUAGAGGGAAUGGGGUAAGCCACAGUCUGUAUCGGGUAGGACCUUAGCCUUCUUGUUUCUUUCCUUAUUGGCCAGGGACUGACCUGCUCCCCAUUCUACUAAGUUUUGUCAAAUCCAUCCUUAUACUCCCUUUUGAUCUAUAAAAUAUUUUCUAUGA